rnacentral:lncRNA from 1 species
CCCGGAGUAUUCUGCUACCACUAAAUCUCCCCUGGCAUCCAUUGAGAACUAGUGGUGACCUCCUUAUGUUCCUUUUGCUAUUACUUCUUUGACCUUUUUUUGAUUCUUCUGCGCUUUUUCAUCUUUUUUUACCCCAAAUUUCCCUUUCUUUUUUAUCAUGUCAAUUACUUCAAUAGUUAUAUGGUUUUAAUUGAUAACCACUGCAAGGGGACAUGUCCUUUAUCCCAUUAUUUCGUCAUGCCUGCUUUUGUUCUAGAAUUACAACCCCAGGGAAGCGAAUUAUUAAUCAAGUUGUCCUUCGAGGUUCUUUAGAUAAGUCACCCAU